CACAUGGAAUAAACAAACAUACAGUCAAUAACACAGUAGAAAAGCUUCGCCUGUGCUUUUAUUUUGAAGAUUAAAACAAACAAUGGUUACAGUGCGUCUCCUUGGCAGAAAACAAUACAAUCAUGUCAGACUAGAGUAUAUUAAACUACAAUUACCAUGGAAAGAUCUCAGGUUUAUUUGACUCAAUAGUAGAAGGUUACAUGAAUGAUGCAUCAAAUGUAAUCAUGAUCUGCCUCAGAACAGGUCUGUAUUGAGGAAUGUUAUCAUGAUCUGCCUCAGAACAGGUCUGUAUUGAGGAAUGUUAUCAUGAUCUGCCUCAGAACAGGUCUGUAUUGAGGAAUGUUAUCAUGAUCUGCCUCAGAACAGGUCUGUAUUGAGGAAUGUUAUCAUGAUCUGCCUCAGAACAGGUCUGUAUUGAGGAAUGUAAUCAUGAUCUGCCUCAGAACAGGUCUGUAUUGAGGAAUGUAAUCAUGAUCUGCCUCAGAACAGGUCUGUAUUGAGGAAUGUAAUCAUGAUCUGCCUCAGAACAGGUCUGUAUUGAGGAAUGUUAUCAUGAUCUGCCUCAGAACAGGUCUGUAUUGAGGAAUGUUAUCAUGAUCUGCCUCAGAACAGGUCUGUAUUGAGGAAUGUUAUCAUGAUCUGCCUCAGAACAGGUCUGUAUUGAGGAAUGUUAUCAUGAUCUGCCUCAGAACAGGUCUGUAUUGAGGAAUGUUAUCAUGAUCUGCCUCAGAACAGGUCUGUAUUGAGGAAUGUAAUCAUGAUCUGCCUCAGAACAGGUCUGUAUUGAGGAAUGUAAUCAUGAUCUGCCUAAGAACAGGUCUGUAUUGAGGAAUGUAAUCAUGAUCUGCCUCAGAACAGGUCUGUAUUGAGGAAUGUAAUCAUGAUCUGCCUCAGAACAGGUCUGUAUUGAGGAAUGUUAUCAUGAUCUGCCUCAGAACAGGUCUGUAUUGAGGAAUGUUAUCAUGAUCUGCCUAAGAACAGGUCUGUAUUGAGGAAUGUAAUCAUGAUCUGCCUCAGAACAGGUCUGUAUUGAGGAAUGUUAUCAUGAUCUGCCUCAGAACAGGUCUGUAUUGAGGAAUGUUAUCAUGAUCUGCCUCAGAACAGGUCUGUAUUGAGGAAUGUAAUCAUGAUCUGCCUCAGAACAGGUCUGUAUUGAGGAAUGUAAUCAUGAAAUAUAAACUAAUUAAUAUAUGAAAACAUA